rnacentral:rRNA from 1 species
UGGGGAAUAUUGCACAAUGGGCGCAAGCCUGAUGCAGCCAUGCCGCGUGUGUGAAGAAGGCCUUCGGGUUGUAAAGCACUUUCAGCGAGGAGGAAGGGUUCAGUGUUAAUAGCACUGUUCAUUGACGUUACUCGCAGAAGAAGCACCGGCUAACUCCGUGCCAGCAGCCGCGGUAAUACGGAGGGUGCAAGCGUUAAUCGGAAUUACUGGGCGUAAAGCGCACGCAGGCGGUUUGUUAAGUCAGAUGUGAAAUCCCGCGCUUAACGUGGGAACUGCA